AUUAACAAAGAGUUUGAUCCUGGCUCAGGACGAACGCUGGCGGCGCGCCUAACACAUGCAAGUCGAACGGAGACUGUUCAUCGGAAGUU
rnacentral:rRNA from 1 species